rnacentral:rRNA from 1 species
AUUGAACGCUGGCGGCAUGCUUUACACAUGCCAGUCGAACGGCAGCGCGGGCUUCGGCCUGGCUGCGAGUGGCGCACGGGUGAGUAAUACAUCGGAACGUGCCCCGUUGUGGGGGAUAGCAAGGUGAAAGCAGGAUUAAUACCGCAUACGACCUGAGGGUGCAAGCGGGGGAUCUUCGGAACUCGCGCUAUUUGAGCGGUCGAUGGCCGAGUAGCUAGUUGGUGGGGUAAAGGCCUACUAAGGCGAGCAUCUGUAGCUGGUCUGAGAGGACGACCAGCCACACUGGGACUGAGACACGGCCAAGACUCCUACGGGAGGCAGCAGUGUGCAAUUUUGGACAGUGGGCGAAAGCCUGAUCCAGCAAUGCGGCGUGUGAUAUGAAGGCCUUCGGGUUGUAAAGCACUUUUGGCGGGAACGAAAAGCACUGUGCCAAUACCACGCUUCGAUGACGGUACCCGCAGAAUAAGCACCGGCUAACUACGUG